GUGUCUUUGGCAUCGAUGCCUUGUAAAUUCUUAUGCAAGUAGACUUUAAAAUAUGUUUGACUUAGGUCUUCUUUAUGUUCAUUUAGAUGUUGACAAUUAUUUUUUUAAAGUCUAGUUAUGAAAUUUGUUCUCUUCGUAAGGCUAUAAGGCUGUCUUUUGCACCUAGUUCUUAUAAUGUUGAUACACUUUUUGAUCUUAUUCAUAUCUGAUUUAUUGGGACCAUCACCAUCUUUAUCUAGGUUGAGUUAUAGAUAUUUUAUUUUAUUUAUUGAUCAUUACACAUGUUUU
rnacentral:lncRNA from 1 species